rnacentral:tRNA from 1 species
GGGCCUAUAGCUCAGACGGUCAGAGCGCUUCGCUGAUAACGAAGAGGUCCCUGGUUCAAGUCCAGGUAGGCCCACCA